AGAGAAACAUACACAGGAUAUUGCCACCUGUCACUAAAAUGUGCUUGUUGAAAUCAACUGGAGUAUCCCUCAUCCUGUCCAUACUUCUAUUCAUCGCAGACUCUUACCCAAGCAGCGACAAGACAAACAUGUACAGGUUGCUGCUUCUCCAGAGCUUCUCCAACCCCACUACGGUCAAAGCAAACCAUGCUGGUCCCCAAGAACAUCCCCUCUGAAGCCACAUGCUGCAUUGCAAAAGAAGGGGAUAGGGUCACCACCAAGGAUGGCUUACCGGUGACGAAUCACACAGAGUGUCACUGCAGCACCUGUUAUUACCAUAAAUCAGAAACUGUCUGUAAGGGCCGGAAAUCUCCUUGUCGUAGAAGUAAAAGUUUGGCAACAGUUUAUAUAUUUUGCGCUAC